GACGAACGCUGGCGGCGUGCUUAACACAUGCAAGUCGAACGGAAAGGCCCUGCUUUUGUGGGGUGCUCGAGUGGCGAACGGGUGAGUAACACGUGAGUAACCUGCCCUUGACUUUGGGAUAACUUCAGGAAACUGGGGCUAAUACCGGAUAGGAGCUCCUGCUGCAUGGUGGGGGUUGGAAAGUUUCGGCGGUUGGGGAUGGACGCGCGGCUUAUCAGCUUGUUGGUGGGGUAGUGGCUUACCAAGGCUUUGACGGGUAGCCGGCCUGAGAGGGUGACCGGCCACAUUAGGACUGAGAUACGGCCCAGACUCCUACGGGAGGCAGCAGUGGGAAAUAUUGCACAGUGGGCGGAAGCGUGAUGCAGCAACGCCGCGUGCGGGAUGACGGCCUUCGGGUUGUAAACCGCUUUCGCCUGUGACGAAGCGUGAGUGACGGUAAUGGGUAAAGAAGCACCGGCUAACUACGUG
rnacentral:rRNA from 1 species